UACGUAGGGUGCGAGCGUUAAUCGGAAUUACUGGGCGUAAAGCGUGCGCAGGCGGUUCGUUAAGUUCGAUGUGAAAGCCCCGGGCUCAACCUGGGAACUGCAUUGGAAACUGGCGGGCUUGAGUGUGGCAGAGGGGGGUGGAAUUCCGCGUGUAGCAGUGAAAUGCGUAGAUAUGCGGAGGAACACCGAUGGCGAAGGCAAUCCCCUGGGCCUGCACUGACGCUCAUGCACGAAAGCGUGGGGAGCAAACAGG
rnacentral:rRNA from 1 species